GGAGCAAGAGAGGCCACACUGUCCCUCUGUCAACCAGACGAGGUGUGGAAAGGGCAGGGAUCUCCUUUACACAUCUAUGUUGUGUCUGUGCACAAGCGUUUUCUUAUCCCAAGAUGCUCUAUGAGUCCCUUCCAGGUUACUCAAAAGUCAAGAAUCGGUAAGUAUGCAAACAUGACAGCUCUGCCGCUUUGCAGAUUUAUAGAGCUUAUCUAUUUUUUUCCUGAUAGAAAGGGUGGUUGGUGUUACCUGGACGAGAAGGGCAGUGCACUGAGCCUCAGAGAGGCUCAUGCAUGUCAGACCAGAGAGACGGAAGCUUGGACAGGCAGAGGGCACUGGGCUGAGAUGGGGCAGGAGUGCACCACAGCUGGACAGACCCGUGCAUGCAGGGGCAGAAUCCUUGCCUGCAGGGGUCUCCAUGUACGGUUAUUUGUUGUGAGCUAGCAAACUCAGCGAUGUAACAGGGAUGGACAGGAAAGGAAGAGGGAAGUGAGGGAGAGACACGGAGAUGAGCCCUGGGUUGGGGGAAAGAGAAGGCCAGCAGCCCUCCACGGGGCCCUACAAUCUGUCCUGCGUCCCCACAGUGAAGUGGUCAUUCAGCCUCAAAGUCAGCUUGGAUAAGGUGUCAGCCCAUGGGAGAAGAAUGAUUUGAGAUUUGUUUCCAUCUGUCUUUCCUAAGUCAGCAGGAGGGACCACCUUCUCCCACAAAGGUGAACUCAAGGGCACAGGACAUUUAGCUGGUUGAAUCGUUGCCCUUGCCUGAUUCUUGUUCAUACUAAUCACCUGAAUGUCCUGCAUGCCAUCCUCUCUUCCUCCCUGUGCGAGGGCCAUUUCGCCCCCAGGCAUCUGAAAGCCUUCAGCAUGGAUGUGGGUCCCUUCCUUGUUAGAUGCAGGGUGUGGGACACGUUGUCUAACUUGCCAUGCUUCUCAAUGAGCGAGGGCAUGGAACACCCAAGACUGGGACAUGGGUCAAGCCAUGAAAUCGGUGAUGAUUUUUAUGGCAACAAUAGGAAUUCCACAACCUCGGUGCCCCUCCCUGCAGGGCCCUGAGACGUCCAUCAUUGUCUGGACGAACAUGGCUUUCGCAGUGAGACGCAACCCAUCCUAACAGUGAUGCCACAGGAUAGUCCACCGCCCAAGGUCAAGUGCACACCCUGCACUCAGACGUAAUGGCAGUCAUUUGUAUUUGUGUAUUGCUCAAAACCCCACAGCUUCUAGACACAGGGUCACACAGGCAGGUGCCAAGACAUAAGCUGAAGUGUGGACUCCUGUUUUACAGGGGAAGAGGUCGAGGCCUUGAGAGGUCAACUGGUUUCCCUGCACAGGUCCAAACAGAUGGAAAGUAAGGGGUCAGAUGUGAGCUGGGUUUCCUAAUGACAACUCAACACAGUGAUGACCCCAAGGAAGAAGACCCUCUGCAGCAGUUACUGCACCUGCCUGUGAGCAGAACCAGGUGCUGAGAAGUUCAAACACAGGCUCCAAGGUGCCAGCUCUCAGGAGCUUGCCUGGGGCCCAAGACCACCUCCAAACACAUCAGGAGUUCAGAAGCCUGGGUUGGCCGUGGAGCCCCGGGAAGCUCUGGAGGGAAGCUUGGAAUGUCAACACCCCACUCACCGCCUGCCCUCCCUCCUGGGGCUUCUGACUUACUGACAAGCUAGUGAACAGGCUUUUGUACGAGCUGCGACACGUGCAGCCUCCCUGAUCCUCCAGCCUCUGCACUGCCCAUCUUGACUUGCCUCAGGUAUGGAGCCCACAAUUGGCACCAUUUUUCUCCUCUACCUUCAUGUUGACAGUUGCCCCCUUCAAUUCAGAAGAUGCAUCCUAAGAGUGAUCGCAGGGACACUUCUACACUGGUGACCACAGCUGACUGGAGGCAACCUGUUGACACUAGUACUCAAAGGAAUCUGUGAACACAAAGGAGAGAGGCUCGAAAUGCAACACGAGACUGACUGCCUUGGAGUCAGUUUGAUUCUGAUUCUCUCACUUAGGAUGCAAUACCCAGCACAGACCCUUCGGAUGACAGACUCCAAAGCCACUCUCAAACCCUCACUCUUGCUUUUUAGUUAUAGAGGACAGACAGCAAGAUACUCAUCUUUUUGACUUCCAUUGUGAUCAGUUAUAGCACUGUGACCUAAUUCAGGCCACUUAACAUUUAUGUGGAGGAUCCUACAGAAGGCAUCCCUUCAAGUAAGCACUCACAGGUUGUGGAGAAAUUUAUUUUAGCCUUCCUGUCUCCUGCCAAUAAUGUAGAUGUGAUGGCUGGAAGUGGAAUAGCCAUCUUAUAACCAUAGGGAAAAAAACAUAAAAACCACAGGCUACAGGUGUUGGGAAAAGAAGCGAGAAGGGGUCUAGGUUCUGCACGAACUCUGACCUCUGGAUUUAGUCCUGCAUGAGGAAAUAAAACCAUCAUUGUGUGUUCAUGACACCGACACGGGGAUCUUUAUUACUUGUAGCAGAAACAUUACCUGGUGAUAUAAACACUCCAGUAUGGGAAAAACCAUUUCCUUGGGUGAACUCUCUGUGGUCUGUCUGUACAGCAGUCCUCGUGGACCGUUUUCUCCUGCCGGCCGGGCCAGGGAAACACCCUCCCGACUUGGGCCUCCCCUGUCGGCAGAGAGCUGGCUAGAAGCAGGAAGAACCCAAGGUCUAACCCCAGAAACUCAGGUCAAACUCUGACUCUGGAAUCACAGGCUGUGGGACCCUGAGUGAUUUUUGAGACUGUUGGAGCUCCACCUUUAUUUUAAACAGUGUUACCUAAUACAUUUCUACAGAGACUGUUCCCAGCAUGUGCUAAUACAUUAAAAACCCUCAUCUUA